rnacentral:rRNA from 1 species
UACAGAGGUCUCAAGCGUUGUUCGGAUUCAUUGGGCGUAAAGGGUGCGUAGGCGGUAGGGUAAGUCUGGUGUGAAAUCCUGGAAGCUUAACUUCAGAAAUGCACUGGAUACUGCCCUGCUAGAGGACUGGAGAGGAGAUUGGAAUUCACGGUGUAGCAGUGAAAAUGCGUAGAUAUCGUGAGGAAGACAGUGGCGAUACGAAUCUCUGGACAGUUCUGCGUGAGCAGCGAAGGCCAGGGGAGCAAACGGG